rnacentral:rRNA from 1 species
GCAAGUCGAACGAGGAACGGAUGGAAGCUUGCUUUGUCCGUUUCGAGUGGCGGACGGGUGAGUAACGCGUGAGGAACCUGGCUUUUGCAGGGGGAUAGCGUUUCGAAAGAGACGGUAAUACCGCAUGAGACCACAGCACCGCAUGGUAAAGGGGUCAAAGGAGAAAUCCGGCAGAAGAUGGACUCGCGUCCCAUUAGGCAGUUGGCGGGGUAAAGGCCCACCAAACCGACGAUGGGUAGCCGACCUGAGAGGGUGAUCGGCCACAUUGGAACUGAGAGACGGUCCAAACUCCUACGGGAGGCAGCAGUGGGGAAUAUUGGGCAAUGGGGCCGAAAGCCUGACCCAGCAACGCCGCGUGAGGGAAGAAGGUUUUCGGAUUGUAAACCUCUGUCCCAGGAGACGAGAAGGAGACGGUAUCCUGGGGGGAAGCCCCGGCUAACUACGUGCCAGCCGCGGC